AGAGGGAAAAAACAAAACUCCUCCCCCUGGCCGCAUUCCUGGGUAAAUUCGGGCCCUGAUCCUCGGCUUGGACCGAAGGUCUUCACCUUAUCCCCCGGCUGCAGAAUUCUCUUCUUAACGAUCCCAGCUCGUUGCCGUAUCACUGCCUGGCUCAGAAACUUCCCGCGGCUUCCCAACGUCCAAAUUCUUAGCAUUCGAUACGAGCAUUGUAUGUGCUACCUAGACACCAGACUUCACCGGCUGUUUCCAAAAUGUUCAGUACGGACACUGCGACGGGAAACGGCCCUCCCCAGAGAGCAGUCUGGUUCCUCUACAAAUACCGCACCCCUGCCCCUUCUUACACAAUCUGUGGCUGCCACUUGCCGUGGAGCAAGGGACCAGGGCUCCGGACCUGACAGCCAGAUUUCCUGUCGUUGACACCUAAGGCGGUCCAGUGCCUGACGGAUCCAUUUACCCCUGAGCGGAAAACAAGACCAGGGUUUGCGGGGAAAGGAGAUGAGCAGCAGCGCAGCGGGAAGCAGAUGUACCUCGGAAGACCGUCGUGUGACCCAUCGGAGAAAGGGGAGAGCAGACCAUGUCUGCGUCCUGGUGACUUUCCAUCUCCGGCUUCCACAUGGCCCUCCACACCCACAGCGCACCUGCUGUUGCUGGAACUCAGAACUCUCACUGCUGCCUUUCUGCCUUUGUCUUUCGGCCCGUUUCUUCCCCUUGCCUGGAACACCUUCCUCCCAGGUCUACUGGUUGUCAUCUACCAGGUAAUCCUUCCAGGUCCCACAUUUUAUUCCACAACCUGAAGUGACACCUACCUUCUUUUCUUCCCCUUAGCACCAACUGAUCUUUUUUUUUUUUUUUAAUUUCUUAAACGUUUAUUUAUUUUUGAGAGAGAGACAGAGACAGAGCACGAGCAGAGGAGGGGCAGAGAGAGAGGGAGACACAGAAUCCGAAGCAGGCUCCAGGCGCCAAACUGUCCGCACAGAGCCUGACGCCCGACGUGGGCCUCGAACUCACGAACCGCCAGAUCAUGACCUGAGCUGAAGUUGCUCAACCGACUGAGCCACCCAGGCGCCCCCUGACUGAUCUUUUUGUGACCUCGCAUUUAGACUUGGAUUACAGUGAUUGUCAUGUCUUCUGAGACCUCUCAGUUUUCCUUAUAAACCUCAUGAAGUGCUGUACGCAGUAGGUACUCAAUGAAUGUCAGAGUGAAUCAAAUUUGCUGCAACUAAGUGAAGGUAAAAAAAAUAAGCAUUUAACAUUCAAAACUGAAUGCGCAUUUUCUUCGUUUCUCAAACCAUUCCUGAAGACGUUCAAAGAAACAAAUGUUUUGUUCGUAUAACGUAGGGUAGACAAACUCUACAAAGGGCCACGUAAUAACUGUUUUAGGCUUUUGGGGGCCACGUAGAUCUACUGCGUAUUUGUCAUUAUUUUUUGGUUUUUAAAGAAUCAUUUAAAAAUGUAAAACUUGGGGUGUUUGGCUGGCUUUGUCCAUGAAGCAUGCAACUCUUGAUCUUGGGGUCGUGAGUUCAAGCCCCAGGUCGUGUAUAGACAUUACUUAAAAAUAUAUAUUUUGGGGCACCUGGUGGGUCAGCCGGUUAAGCAUGUGACUUUGGCUUAGGUCAUGAUCUCGACAUUCGUGAGUUCCAGCCCCGUGUGGGGCUCUGUGCUGACAGCUCAAAGCCUUAACCUGCUUCGGAUUCUGUGUCUCCCUCUCUCGCUGCCCCUCCCCCUCUCACGCUCUGUCUCCCUCUCCCUCUCUCUCUCUCUCUCAAAAAUAAACAUGAAAAAAAAAUAAAGUUUUUAAAAAAAAAUGUAAAACUCAUUCUUACCUUGCAAGCUGAACAAAACCACAUGUUAUACGUGGUGAUGGAAACUGAUGUAGGGCCACUAAUUGAGGAAUGCCGAAAAUUACAUUUUUCCUCUUCCCCCCAUUUCCCAUAGCCACACCUGUCUCAUUGUUGUCAUGGAAAAAAGCCAGCAAACGUCUACACUACAGAAAGUCGCGAACAGUGAAUUUGGAACCACAUACCUGCCUUUAAAUUGUCAAGUGAGUGGCCUAGUUGAGCCGGUGUUUUCUUAUAAAGGAUUACCUGUCAUUUAGGGGAAAAGCAACCAGGACAGAUCCAAAUCCAUAGGAUCUAUGAAGCAGAGAGUACUUAGUAGCAAGUUAUCGAUGGUAUCCAUUUCGGAAAACAAGUAUGUCUUUAGCUUACUUGUAGAAAACUAAUUUGUGGUCUCUUGGGUUUGGUUUUGUUUUUUUUUUUUUUUUUAAUCAAUUUUUCAUACCAAAUUUACAAGAGAAACAUUGCAUUUUUCUGUCUGAGCGUCCUCAGGCCUGGAGAGAUGUCUAGAUUCUGGCUUCUGAUGUGGGGGCUCCCUUGUACAUGUGGAGCCCAGUCGGUUGUUUAGAGGAACUGACUCAAAGGCUCAGUUCUUGCCUCCCGGCCUCCCAGAUACUCAGUAACAUCUCCAAAUUAAAGCUUUAGAACGUAACAUAAUUUGGAGGUUAGUUACACUGAUGACUUAAUUCAUUAAUGUCGUCUUCCCCUGAAAUGGUUAAUAGAUUUGGUCUAGAAGCCAAGGAGAUAUGAACUCAAAACGGAAAGAUACUUGUUCUUUGCAAGUUCCUAUGUUUUGCUUUACGAAGAGCUAUUCCUUCAUCUGAUGCGCUUCUGCGUAAUAAAAAUAAACCACAUUAUGUAUGUCUUUUAAAAUCCCUGGCUAUGUUUCAUGGAGUGGUUUCCAGCUCUGACAGUUUAUAAUUCAGACAGCAUCUGAAGAAGUUAAUUUCUGGACCUGCGAUGUCAUGCUAACAAAUGGCCACCAGAUGUCAGUCUUUCCUUGUGUUUUUAGACACAAAUGGCCUUUGGAACCACAUUUAAGGUUCUAUUUGUGUGGCGUCCUCAGUGGAAGGCACUUUUCAGGGAGCAUCUGCCCCCUCACAGUCCAUCACGCAUGGUCCUAAGCUCCCUUUGCUCUGGUGUCACUUACUGUCCUGGGUUACGGCAGCGACUUGUCCCCACGGGCCACUACUCGGCCCCGGGCCCUCGCUUAGAGCCCAGCUCCCACCCUCGAAGUGAUGCAGAGUUGGGGGGAAACGCGGCCGCUUCCUGGAAGAUGGAGCUCGCUCAGAAAGCCGAAGAAUCCAUUUCUCAAGACAAGCAUCAUUGGGAGGAGAACGCAGAACCCAUGUGAGCGUUAGUGAUGAAGCAUGACUUUAAAGGACUUUCACGGUUGUAUAAUCCUUCCCACGGGAGUUCAGGCUCACUCCCCUCGUGGGGUGUUCUGUGAACACCAGGCAGCAGUGAACCGCUUGUCCCGAGUCGCUUCUGGGGAUUUGCAGAGGGAGGUUGGGGUCUCGGGGGCAAGGGAGAGAGGCUUCCCUCAGGGAGGGCUGGUGGGCGGGGUGCGACCCACCCACCCCAAAGGAGAGGGAGGGAAGGAGGGAGGGGGCUGUGGGAUGGCCCACCCCAAGCCAGGCACGUGCCCUGGUGUCAUUCCAAGGGGACCCACUCCUGAGGCUGUGGGAGGUGGGGCGCGCGGGGAGUGAGCCGCGCUUUCGCGGGCGGGGGACAAAAGGUGAGGGUUUUCUGCCCACUGGAUAUCGUGGGCCUGUUGGUGGAAGCCGCCGGGGACCCAGAGGGCGGCCCGAGGGAGGCAAGCUGCCUGGCAGGUGUUCCCGAUGCCACGGCCAAGGCAGAGUGGAAGCAGGCAGCCGGACGCCCAACGUGGCUCCUCCGCCACCAGCCACCGUCAGAAGCACUGCCGCUGGGAAGGGUCCGCUUGGGCCCCCUCCUGGGUCUUGUACCAGCCGCAGGGCAGGGCAGCGGCUCGACAGCGUCAGGUUUUCCGAGGCAUUCGAGAACCCCCCGGCCCCCCCGGCCCCUGGCGUGCAACUACCUUCUCCCGGUUGACUGUCAGCAGCAGGGGCCUGGCCCAGAAGACCCUCUGUGCUCCUCACUUGCCCCCCCAGGGGGCGGAGAGGAGCCCCAGGGCACUGAGGGGUAGGGAGCUCCCGCCUCCCAGCCCCGCCCCUCCCCUGCUACCCGCCCCGCGGGACUGGGACCCUUGAGCUGGGCCUGCUGGGCUCCCGCUGCUGGGGACCCGCAGACUCUGCCCAGAGGCUGCUCCGCAGCGGUGGGAGGAGGGAGAAGGGCCUCGGCCUCCCUUUUCGUACUGGCGGAUUCCAGGCCCUGUCGGUGUCUCUGCCUCGCUUUGCCCUGGGCCACAUCUGAGUCCUCGGAGAGUCCCUUCCCAGCCCCACAGGGCCCCUCCUCCCACUUCUGAACCUGAGCUCCAGGGGACGUCCUCCAGGCGUCCGUUCUUGCAGAUUCUGUCCUUUGCCCGGGGUCGCCUGCAGCCUGCGGGGUGGCAGGUGCCUCUGGCAGCACCGAGGUCCCCGUCCUGAAAGGAGGGGACUCCCCCCCCCCAACAGCCUGCUUGUCCACGUCGCACUCUGACCCCGAGCUGAGCAGCCUGUGAACCCAAGUCACCGCAGAACCAACCACGAGGGACCGAAACUUCUCCUCCGCCUGGAGGGCCCAGGCCCCGGCUGCAGCAGAGGAAAAGCCUGCCAGGCCUCCCCUAACCCUAACCCCUCCCCCUCCCCCACCCCGCCAGGCCUCCCCCUCCCCCAGCCUCCCUGGGGCAUCCGGGCACAGGCUGGAGCUCGGCCGGUGGGAGAAGUCAAGCCCAAGACAGGAGGUGAGCGGCCAGCAAGCUGUGCUGGGCUUCGUGUGGACGGAGACGCCUGCGAGGCCACGGGCCCAACACGGGGUCCGGGGUACCAGGGGCCCCAGACCGCCCGCGCCGUGGGGACCGGCGACAGAGAGCUCGGUCAGUGGAAUGGCUUCGCGGUGGCCCUGCCCAGGGUUGUUCUUGCUCACCUGCUGCACUUGUGCGGACCCUGCGGUCACCGCCCUCCCUCCUCUGCCCCCCCGGGCCGUGCCUCGAAGGGGGCUCCAGGCACCUGGCUGCGCGGCCUGCACAGGACGCCCCUCUGGGCCGCCACUGAGGGGCGGUGCCGGGCGUCCCGGUGGCGGCUCCUCCCCUGGGAGUCUCCUUGGUGCUGCCGUGCAGGCCUUGGUGCCUCGUCCCCUUGUCUGAUUUGGCUGUCCUCCCCGCUCGGCCCCCUCGCCUCCCCACAUGGCCGAUCACCUGCGGGCCUGCUGGUGCCACGUCCCCGCCGUCCAGCUCCCCUCCGCGGCCGCCACUACCAUCCGGGGACCGGCAGCCCCUGGACGGCCCGGGAGCCCCCCCCACAGCCAGCUCCCGCCCUUUGCCACCAGCCGAGAUCGGUGUCCAGCUGUCCGUGAGGACGACACCGCCGACAGGAGAGAGGCGGACAGGCUCUGGGUCGAUGCACCGUCUCCCUCUCCGCCAGAAACAGGAUUGGGACUCCUCUCCACCGUCGCCAAGGCUCCCCGGGCUCCGGUCCGGGCCAUGCUUCGUGCCACGUGACCCCACAGUCCUCCGGAUCUGGCCGGCCCUCUGCCUCACCCGGUCUCAGCCCAGGUGUUACCUGCUCAGACCUUCCAGGCCCCUGUGUCCCCCCCCCCCCCCCCCCCGCCACACAUGGCUCCUGCGUCUUCCUUCCCCACAGUAGCCCCGUUCUCCCAGGAGGAAGAUGAAUGUGAGAUGUGAAGGGGCCUGGCUGUGUCCACGCCGGGCCUCGUCCGCUGUCCUCCCUGGACCAGGGGCGGAGGGGCAGCCGCCUCCCCAGCCCCUCUCCGCCUCCCCCAGCUCUUCUCCGUCUUACGCGCUUCCUGCAAACGUACCUUAACAGGGGCCUCUUCCCUGCUCACCUCCAGGUGCCCUGAGACCAGACCCAGAGACCACGCUUCGUCCACCUUCUUUCUUCCCUUCCCCGGCACUCGUUCAUCACGCGGCAAACGUCGCCGGAUGACCGCGUGCGCCAGGCACACGGCGCCUCGGGGAGGGGAGGCCGGACACGGCCCUGCCCUCGGGCCGCUCGCUCCCCGGCUUCCUGCGCAGCCCCUUUGUCUGCUUGGACCCUCCUCAGCGACUCGCUCCUUCCAGGCGCCCGCACCCCAGGCCCAGCCAGCUUCCAGCACCUUCCAGCGCCAAGACCUGCUACGCGAUUUGCGUGGCCCAGUGCAAGAUGAAAACGCCAGGCCCUGUGUUCAAACGUACUGAGGCUUCGAAGGCACCGACAGCAAAGCGUGAGAACGAGAGCGGAGGGGGCACCGCACGCCCAGGGAAGCUCCCUGCCAGCGGCGUCCUGGCCACACCCCUCCCGGCCCCCUCGCCUGCAGGGACAGGCCUCCUCCCAGUCCAGAGUCACAGAGUCACCCCACCCUCGCCCUCAGACUCUGCGCACUGAAGGGGCGCUUUGCCUCUAAUGGCCCAGCCCUCCCUGUUCUAGGCACGUCCAUCCGGCCGGUCCACGGGCACCGACCCAUAUCACCCUCACCAAACUCGGAUUCCAGGUCUCACAUUGCCCUUUCUGUCUGUCCGUCCAGGCCCUUCGUGAUUCCGGUUACACAGCAGCUCUCCUGCCC
rnacentral:lncRNA from 1 species